rnacentral:rRNA from 1 species
UCUAUUUGAUUUUCUUCGGAAAUGAGGAUUUUGUGACUGAGUGGCGGACGGGUGAGUAACGCGUGGGUAACCUGCCUUAUACAGGGGGAUAACAGUUGGAAACGACUGCUAAUACCGCAUAAGCGCACAGGAUCGCAUGAUCCGGUGUGAAAAACUCCGGUGGUAUGAGAUGGACCCGCGUCUGAUUAGCCAGUUGGCAGGGUAACGGCCUACCAAAGCGACGAUCAGUAGCCGACCUGAGAGGGUGACCGGCCACAUUGGGACUGAGACACGGCCCAAACUCCUACGGGAGGCAGCAGUGGGGAAUAUUGCACGAUGGGGGAAACCCUGAUGCAGCGACGCCGCGUGAGCGAAGAAGUAUUUCGGUAUGUAAAGCUCUAUCAGCAGGGAAGAAGAAUGACGGUACCUGACUAAGAAGCACCGGCUAAAUACGUGCCAGCAGCCGCGGUAAUACGUAUGGUGCAAGCGUUAUCCGGAUUUACUGGGUGUAAAGGGAGCGCAGGCGGUGCGGCAAGUCUGAUGUGAAAGCCCGGGGCUCAACCCCGGUACUGCAUUGGAAACUGUCGUACUAGAGUGUCGGAGGGGUAAGUGGAAUUCCUAGUGUAGCGGUGAAAUGCGUAGAUAUUAGGAGGAACACCAGUGGCGAAGGCGGCUUACUGGACGAUAACUGACGCUGAGGCUCGAAAGCGUGGGGAGCAAACAGGAUUAGAUACCCUGGUAGUCCACGCUGUAAACGAUGAAUACUAGGUGUCGGGGAGCAUUGCUCUUCGGUGCCGCAGCAAACGCAAUAAGUAUUCCACCUGGGGAGUACGUUCGCAAGAAUGCAACUCAAAUGAAUUGACGG